rnacentral:lncRNA from 1 species
AUUUUUUUUGUGAUUUGUAGGAUGGUGUGGCUUCUGAAUAAUGUUUAUGACGUUGAACACCGGGCCUAUUUCAUGUCGGAGAACAAAAUGGUAAGUAGAAAAUGAUUAGUAGAUGAGUAAUUUUUUGAAAAUGUAAUAAGCACUUGAUAUCUUCUUCUCCUAUCUGUUUGGAGGAGCUUACGCCCUUGAAGAUCCAGUCUCAUGGGGCAUCGUCUGUAAUGCAGUACGAUGAGCGGUACACCCCAUACAUAGAGAUGACACGACUCCUUCCAUUCGUUCAGCUUGUGAGUCGGUCAACGCCCAAUCUGAACGCUGCGGCAGUCACAACACUUAUUGAUCGUUGGAGGCCGGACACACAUAGUUUUCACCUCCGGACCAGAGAGAUGACAGUUACUCUUCAAGAUGUUUCCAUGAUCACCGCACUUCCGAUCGAGGGGAAGCCUCUUUCUAUGAGCACUGGUUCCGAGGGAUGGCGGCAACAAAUGGAGGCUCUUAUUGGUAUGUCGCCGCAGGAGCCGGAGGUAGAAGAUGGCGGGAAGAAAGAUAGAGUCCCGGCCGGCACUCCUUUCACUUGGAUUGCCGCGAACUUUGCUCAUUGUCCUGAGGACGCAGAUGACGAGGUGAUCCAGAGGUAUGCUCGCGUGUACAUGUGGUACGUCAUCUCUAGGACUAUCUUUGCUGACGGCACUGGCAAGAAUGCUCCAUGGAUGUGGCUGAAGGCGUUGACUGUUUUCGACAACAAGUUCAGCUGGGGCUCGGCCGCACUGGCUUACUUGUAUCGGCAGGUAAUAAAUUGUUAGUAUUAAGUACUCUCUGUUAUCUUUUUCUGCUAAACUGAUACAUGUUUGUUGUUACUUGUAGUUGGACGAUGCUUGUCGCAGGACCACAAAGGACGGUGGAGUUGGUGGUUGUAUGCUCCUACUUUCAGUAUGGAGCUGGGAACGCCUACCUGUUGGACGCCCUAAAAGCUCACAGUGGAAUACCUGGGAUGACCACGGCAACCCUGUACGGCAACCUACAUGGGCUUACAAGUGGGACUUGGUAUCGGAGGUGGCAAGCGAAGUGAACCUAUUGUACAAGCAAUACACCAACGAGAUGGAUUCGCUUACCCCGAGCAGGUAAGAUGGUUUGAGAGUUGACUUCCAACUUUUAUGUUGUGAGUAAAAUGAAUUGUGCCUUUUAUGUUGUGUUGUAGGUGGAAUGGCAGCCAUAUGGUGUCGGGCCAAACUUUGGUGAUGCACACAUGUUUGAUCUCAAUCCACUAUGCGUGCAGGAAAAACAUCUUUGCCUAAUGCGUUGUCCCCUUAUAUGCAAUUUGGCGGUUGAGUUUCAUCUCCCGCAUCGUGUGAUGCAUCAAUUUGGGUUCUUUCAGCCACACCCGCCGGAGUGGGUGGACACGGACACACAGCUUCACAGGUAACAAAAAAGAAGUAUUGAUUAGUUUUGUUCUUAGUGUUGAAAGAGCUACUGAUGGGUUUUGUUAAAAGCAGGUUGGAUAGGAGGAGGCAGCGAAAGAUCAAGGAUUGGCAUAAGCAUCAUAAGAGCUAUGUCAUUAUGUUCGAGCAAAGUGUGCAGGCAGCUUCGAGCAUACAACGAACCCAGUACCGCCAGCAUUGUCCGCUUGCGUUCAACAACUACCUAAGAUGGUUUCAGGAGAGUACUCGUGUCGAGAUUUGUCCGCCGGCUUACGAGGAGGACAUAUUGGAAGAACCCACUGAGUACGAUGCACUUGCCCAAGGCGGUUACAACAAGUUAAUUCGCGAAGGGUACCAAACUUCCUUCGCACCUGUCCUGAACUUUAUGGUAAGUGUGCUCACCUAUGUUAAGUAUUAAUGCUAGUACACCUAUUCACUUGGAUGUCAUUGUCUUGUGAUCAUAGCGCAAAGAGGUCAAGAAACAAGCUGAUGAGUCGGAAGAUAUUCUAGAUAAUACACGUGGGGGAAAAAAGGGAGAAUCUGCACUUCAUCUUUUCAUAAAGGUGUUGUGUCAUUAUUAUUAUUUUGCCCACGAAUGCAACAUACUGUACCUUAUAUAUGUCAUUUAUAUUUGAAUCUAACGGGAACAGGGCAAGAAGUUACGGCGCCUAUCCAACAUUUUAGGUUGUCGUGACCCUGAAUAUGUUUCACCUUCGAGAUCCGGUUCAUCCGAAAGAAAUACUCUAGACGAUUCAGCUUCUUCGGGCGCUCGUAUGGACGAUGGUGACAUUACCUGGGCAGCUAAUACCCAAAGAAAUACUGUAGAGGAUGAUGUUGACACUCCUGAGGUAUGACAUAGCCAUAAAACAUUGUGCACUUUCAACCUUCAACUUUGAACCUUCAACUUUGAACUUUCAACCUUCAUAUGUAUUAGGUUGCGGACGGGAUGACGUUGAAGGAUUUCCAACGCUCCGCUUACAUGUUGAAGCCUAGGAAGGAAUUUAGGCGGUACUCACCGGAUGAUUAUGCGAAAGGAAAGAACCCGGUCGCCGGGGGCUCUCGUUUGUCAAGGAUGAGAAGCAUGGACGAUGAGGAUGAGGAUGACGAUGACAAUGAGUCGGAUGACCCGGAGCCAUUUGUGGUUGCGAGAAGAAAGAAGCUAGUUUCUAAGAGGGGACGAGGCUCCAAGAUGUGAACCGGAGCCAUUUGGAGUUUUCAAUCAUUUGCAAACCAUUUUACUUUUGUUGUUGGUGUUGAUGUUGCACUUGUGAACCAUUAGGAGUUGUGAACUUGUGUUGUUGGUAUUGAUGUUGCACUUGUGAACAAUCAUUUGCACUUGUGUUGUUGGUGUUAGAUUCAAAUAUAAAUGUGAACUUCGGUUGUUUGUGUUGUUGUCAUAUGUUUUAAAUUUCUGUCAAAAUAUAUGCUGUCAAAAUAUGUGCUCUCAAAAUAUUGCAUACCUGUCAAAAGGCUUAGGUGUUGCACAUGUGUGGCGUCUAAGGCUUAGGCGCCACACAUGUGCAACGCCCAAGGCUUAGGCGCCACACAUGUGAAAACCUACUAGCAUCUCAAAGCACCUUUCCCUCCUCCGUUCCCGCCAAAAUUUCCACGUCUUCUUUCCCGCCACCUUUCCCUCCUCCGUUCCCGCCAAAAUUUCCACGUCUUCUUUCCCGCCACCUUUCCCUCCUCCGUUCCCGCCAAAAUUUCCACGUCUUCUUUCCCGCCACCUUUCCCUCCUCCGUUCCCGCCAAAAUUUCCACGUCUUCUUUCCCGCCACCUUUCCCUCCUCCGUUCCCGCCAAAAUUUCCACGUCUUCUUUCCCGCCACCUUUCCCUCCUCCGUUCCCGCCAAAAUUUCCACGUCUUCUUUCCCGCCACCUUUCCCUCCUCCGUUCCCGCCAAAAUUUCCACGUCUUCUUUCCCGCCACCUUUCCCUCCUCCGUUCCCGCCAAAAUUUCCACGUCUUCUUUCCCGCCACCUUUCCCUCCUCCGUUCCCGCCAAAAUUUCCACGUCUUCUUUCCCGCCACCUUUCCCUCCUCCGUUCCCGCCAAAAUUUCCACGUCUUCUUUCCCGCCACCUUUCCCUCCUCCGUUCCCGCCAAAAUUUCCACGUCUUCUUUCCCGCCACCUUUCCCUCCUCCGUUCCCGCCAAAAUUUCCACGUUUUCUUUCCCGCCACCUUUCCCUCCUCCGUUCCCGCCAAAUUUUCGACGUUUCCUUUCCGGUCUAUAAAAGGAGGCAUUGGACUGCCUUCCUCCGUCAUCCAGCCUCACUUGAGAACACUACCACCGCUUUAGUCAAUAUGAGUUUGCCUUGCUCGGAUCAAAGCAUCAGGCCUAAGAAAAUGAAAAAUGCGAGUUUGCCUCGGGGGGUGGAAGCAAUUCGAUGUUGGUGCGGUGAUCUCUCCAAGGUGAAGGAGGUGGAGGAUUUUUCAGAUUGGUUGGGCAUGAAGUUUUUCAUGUGCGCCAAUUAUGAAUCUGAUCCACCCGAAUCUAUUUCUCCGUACAUCAGGCGUCCGGUAUGUUCAAGUCAUCCAAAUUAUUGUUUACUUGAUAUUAUUGUUUACUUGAAUCUGAUCCAUCUGGUAGUCUCCUCCUCCGGAAAUGCCGGACUGGGCGGUGACCGAGAUUCGUGAAAGAGGUCGUCGUGCAUGGGCUAGCUGGGACUUGGAAGAGCGCCGCGAGAAGGCUGAAGCAGAGGAGAAAGCAGCGCAGAAGAAAGAGUGGGAAGAGUACUGUGUGGAGCACAGGGCUUUUCUUGAUGAGAUGAUAAGGAAAAACCAAGAAGAGAAACUACGGCUGGAGGAGGUUUACAGAUAGCGGGAACAAGGAAAAUAUCCACGUUGGACUCACUAGAUUUCACGAAGUUGUAUGAGCAAGUUGUAUCUUAAUUUCAGCAAGUUGUAUCUUCAUUUCAGCAAGUUGUAUCAGCAAGUUGUAUCUUAAUUUCACCAAGUUGUAUCUUAAUUUCAGCAAGUUGUAUCAGCACUUGAGAAGACUAAGAUAAGGAUAAGGAUGAACAGAGUCUUGAUGAAAUGAGAAACAUAGUCUUGAUGAAACAGAGUAACAGGAUGCAAGACAUAUCCUCAUGAACAUAGUCUUGAUGAAAUGAGAAGCAUAGUCUUGAUGAAAUGAGAACAAAGUGAAACUAAGACCAAGAUAUCUGCACUUGAGAACAUAGUCUUGAUGAAAUGAGAACAUGGUCUUGAUGAAGUGAGAACAAAGUGAAACUAAGACCAACAUAGUCUUGAUGAAACAGAGUAUCAUCACUUGAGAAGACUAAGAUAAGGAUAAGGAUGAACAGAGUCUUGAUGAAAUGAGAAACAUAGUCUUGAUGAAACAGAGUAACAGGAUGCAAGACAUAUCCUCAUGAACAUAGUCUUGAUGAAAUGAGAAGCAUAGUCUUGAUGAAAUGAGAACAAAGUGAAACUAAGACCAAGAUAUCUGCACUUGAGAACAUAGUCUUGAUGAAAUGAGAACAUGGUCUUGAUGAAGUGAGAACAAAGUGAAACUAAGACCAACAUAGUCUUGAUGAAACAGAGUAUCAUCACUUGAGAAGACUAAGAUAAGGAUAAGGAUAAGGAUCAAGGAUGAUCAUUUACUCAUCAAAAGACUAAACUAAGACCAACAUAGCCAAGUUAUCUGGUACUCUGUUUCACUUGGGUGGCGCCUAAGCCUUAGGCGCCACACAUGUGAUGUGUCGCGCCUAAGGCUUAGGCGCCACACAUGUGAAACAGAGUAACAGAAAGUCGACAUUUGAGAUGCCAGUAGGUUUUCAAUUGUGUGGCGCCUAAGCCUUGGACGUUGCACAUGUGUGGCGCCUAAGGCUUAGGCGCCACACAUGUGAAAACCUACUGGCAUCUCAGAUGUGGACUUUCUGUUACUCUAUUUCACAUGUGUGACGCCUAAGCCUUAGGCGCCACACAUGUGCAACACCCAAGGCUUAGGCGCCACACAUUCUGGCAUGCUGAAAACUGCAGCACAUAGUGGUGGAGGAGUUCAAAUAUACAUCACAAAUAUGCACAAAUAUACAACACAAUAAUACUAGAGUUAAAACAUACAACACAAAGAGGGUGGAGUUCAAACAUGCAUAGGGUUCUUAAAGAACAUACGUUCAAAAGUGCAUACAUAGUGGAGUUUCAUAGUAAGAAAGCGCGCAAGCGAACAAGGUUCAACAACACAUAGGGUUCAACAACACAUAGGGUUCGAAGAUGAAAGCGCGCAUGAGAAUAGAAGCAUCCGGCUCUAUUGGGUCGAGCAAGGCCCCUUUCCCUUCUUCUUCUUCCUCUCUUCUUCCUCUUCCUCUUCCCUUUUGCGCAUUUUUGAAGCCUCUUCCUUAACCCUCUCCGUGAAGCGUUGAUGCUCCCGCUCUCUCUUUGUUGCGCCCUCUGCCCACAUCUUCUUAAAGUUAGCUUCAUAUUCUUUUUUACGUUUCUCUAGCAUCUUCCUGUCAUUCUCCUUUAUCCUAGCCUCAUAUCUCCGGCGCUCAAGUUCCAUUUGCCACUGCUCAUCCAUCUUUGCCUUAUGCUCCUCAUCCUUCUUCUUUCGCGCUUCGGCUGCAUCCUCCUCUCUCAACUUCUUUGCAGCCCUCUCCAUCAACCGCUGCUCCUCACUGGUGCAUCCUUCUCCUCCCCCCACUCCGCUUUUGCCUUGUUGGGUUGAGAAGCGGCCAUACCUACAAAACAGGCAUCAAAGCUCAUAGUUAGUAAAAUAACACACAAAGGAGCAUGAAAAACAACAUGAUAAAGAUAAGUCAAAUAUGUGACAUACGGAAAUGGUCCUCGUAGGUAUCCACGCAUACCAAUCCUAGUAAGUCCACCACCUAUCCCACCACUGCCUCUAGCAGCACCACCACCUAUCCCACCCCUGCCUCUAGCACCACCACGACCUAUCCCACCCCUGCCUCUAGCAGCACCCCUGCCUCUACCACCACCACUGCCUCUAGCACCACGUCCUCUAGUACGCCCAAGUCGGCUAGGAACAUGUUGAGUAGGAACUUGUUGGGUUGUGCUUGGUUGAGCCGUCCCUUGUUGGCUCGUGCUUCCUUGACCCGUCCCUUGUUGGCUUGAACUUGUUUGGCUAGGACUUGGUUGGCUAGGACUUGGUUGGCUUGACCUGGAAUCAUUGUUUUUGGACUUCUUCUUUCGCGUCGUACACCUUCUUGUGUUGUUCCCUGUUACACCGCAAUCUCCACAAUGUGAUCUCUCAGUAGGCUCUUGGAAUUGGUUGUUCCCCAUUUCUCUCCCACCACCAUGGCCCCAUCCAUCCAUGUCUCCUCUAAAACGCUUUGUCUUUCGUCUUCCCAGUUUCACAACCUUCCACUCUGGGUCGGGCCAUAGUUGUACUCCAUGAUACUCCGGCCAUUGUGAUUGGUCAAAGUAUGGUUCAAAUCUAGGAGCCCAUGUAUGCUUCGUGGUCAUGAUCGAGAAUUCGGACUCCCUCACGGUUAGUGGAUGGUUGACGUCCACGUUCCUACCGCGAGCUGCUGUGUACAAAUGCGAGCAUGCGAGAUGAAGCAACCUUAGCCUCCCACAAGAGCAAUCACACAAGGAUAAAGAUACCUUGAAUGCCAUGUUUCCGUGUUGCUGGCCAUCGUUUGUCGUUCCUCCGGGCUCAUUCACUUGGUAUGUCCAAUCCUCGUUGUUGUACAGGGUAGCCGUUUCGGAGUCAGCCUUCCGUGAUUGAAAUACCAUCCAUUUGUCAACCUUUGGUGGAAGCUGGUACUUGUACUUUUUCUUGUUCUCUCCCGCAAUCUGAUCAUCUGUUUCUUGCGAGUACUUUAGAAAGAUGCUCUCAACUUGUCGAAUGUGUAUUGAACUAUUGCCGUCACCGACAACGCACGGACACCCUUCAACACCCGGUUGAAGCAUUCUGCCAUGUUACUUGUCAUUUGACCAUAUCUUCGCCCAUCUUCAUCAUAAGCUCGUGCCCACUUGGCCCGAAGUUCAAUGUGCCUGUUCAGAAACUCAAGCCCACCUGCAUCAAGUUUUUUGUUUACAAGCAAAGCAUUGUACAACCUUGCAAAUCGUUUGCCCGAAAAUGCUUGACAACAAUCUUGAAGAUCAUCCGUCAACUCUUUGCUACCACAUGCCCGGUAGAAGUUUGCACAGAAAUGCCUCAUGCACCAUCGAUGAUGCAAAGGAGCAUGGUCGGGAAUGACAAUGUCAACCGCGUUAAGUAUGCCUUGAUGGCGAUCCGAUAUGACACAUAUUUCCCUCUCAAAAGGUAAUACUUUGGUUCUCAAAAUAUGCAAGAACCAUUCCCAGUUAACAUUGUUCUCUGCCUCAACCAAAGCAAAAGCCAAAGGCAUCAACCGGUUAUUGACAUCACUUGCUAUUGCAACCAACAAAGUGCCCUUGAAUUGUCCGGUCAAAAAUGUGCCAUCGAUGGAGAUGACAGGACGACACUACUGGAAAGCCCUCACACAUUGCUCAAAUGCCCAAAAUGCACGGCCAAAUACGCGGACCCUAUUUUCAUUGAGAAUCCUUGUUUGCUCCCCAUACGGCUCGACCACAUGAACCAUGCCCGGGUUAGUGUGGGCAAUAGCUCCCAACAACCUAGGUAUGCGGUUGUAUGCUUCCUCCCAAUCACCAUACAACAUCUUGAAUGCGGCUUGCUUUGCUUUCCAUGCCUUACCAUAUUUCACCUCGUAGUGAAAGAGGGCUUUCACAAGGUUUUGUACGCCUUUUAUGCUCAUUGUAGGAAGAGAGGAGAUGGAGUUGGAAAGCCUAUAAGCGAUGAACUCGGAGGUGAGUUGUCUAUGGCUUUGCGACGAAAGGGCACUAUCAACCCUCUUGCCUCGACACAUGUGAGGCAUACAACUGACAAUGUUCCAUCCUGGCCCUCCUUUCCAUGGUCUUGCACGGACAAUCCAAGGACACCCUCUAUCCUCACAUGCAACCGUGUAACGCAACUUCAUGUUUGAAUGAACAACUUUGUGUGGCCUAUAAUGCGUAACAGAAUAUUCAUCCAACCACAUCUUCAGUUAAAAGAAUGUUUCGAACUUUGAUCCCGGCAAAAUAAUAUUCUUCCCAUGUGUGUCCCGAUGAGAAGGUGGCCUAAAUCCAAACAAUAUGCCUUCGCCUCCGUCAACCACGGCUUCAUCCGCAAGGCUAAGAUCCUCGAACAAUGGUGUCCGGUGAUCACGCUUUAAUACCUUCGUGAAAGUUCAGCCUCCUUUGUCGUGAACCCUUCCUCAUCAACUUCUUCAUCGGGACCCUCAUCGUCAGACUCAGAGGCAUAGCCACGUGAGUACGGAAUAAAUGGUCCAUUGUCUCUUGCAAAUUAUAUUUGUCCAAAUCACCAAGAUUGUUCUCAUGAAGAACAUUACCAUCAUUCUCAUCAUCAUCGUGCUCAUCAUUAGCCUCUACCAAUGGUUCAUGUUCAAUGUUGACCUCUUCGUUGCCCUCAUCGACACAAGAAAGAGGUUCAAUGUUAGCCUCUUCGGUGAUUGGUGCAGGAAUAGCUUUAACAAUCGGAGAGGCAACCCGGUUCAAAUCCAACAUGUUAGGAACAUUUGUUUUGAUGGCAAAUAACUCUAGAGCCUUGUCUAGUGAUUCGGCCACCGUAUCCUUGUAUGCAAGCCAACGUUGCUCGGAGUUGACACGCAUGGUCUUCCAACGAACGUGCAUUCCGAAUCCCACAUUAUGCCUACCAUCAAACUCAACUACAUUACUAGGGUCCAUCCAAUUCAAAUCCUUUCGGACUUGUUCCAACAAUUCACCAUAGUUAGGACACAAAUCGAACACCAUGUCAAGCUCAUCCGGGUCCGGAUCAAUAUUGCCUUUUAAAAAUGCAUCCUUGUCCACGUGAUGAACAUAAACACAUGUUCUUCCCAUCCCUAAACAACAAAACAUAGAACCUUUUUUAUAAGCAAUCAUACAAUUACAAUAACCCUAGCCUAACUUCCAAACAACCAUAACCCUAACACAACCAAACAUCCCUAACCCUAGCCUAACCAUAGCCUAACCCUAAAACAACCAUAAUGCAAAACAUCCAAACAACUCUAAUCCUAACCACAUCAUACCCCUUAUCCUAACAUACAAACAAAUACAACAAUAUCAUAUACAUCUUACAUUUCAUGAAAAACUAGGGUUUCCUCAAAUUUGCAAAGAAAAAGACCACAAAAGAUUUUUCUUUGGAUGAGAAUGAGGGGAGAGGUGGGGAUUACCUUAGGGGAGUGAUUGGACAACAAAUGCCCGGUCCAAACCUUCAAAUUUGAUGAUUUAGAGAAGGAUUUGAGGGAGGGGGCAGUGGCUGGGAGAGGGGGCUGGGGAAGGGGAAUGAGGAGGGGGUGGGGGGCUGGCCCGUGGCCAGUUAAGUCAAUGUGUGGCGCCUAAGCGUUCGCCGCCACACAUUACAAUAUGUGACGCCUGAGGCUUAGGCGUCACACGGCCUGGGGGUGGACCCUCCCUGCCAGGUGGUCGGGGGCUGUGGCGCCGAACGGCUAGGCGUCACACAGUGUAGUGUGGCGCCUAGGUGUCGGGCGCCACAUAAAAGGAUCAGCCGGGUUACUUAUUUUCACCGAGGGGUCACUCGUGAAUUCUUUCGCGCAGGAAUCAUUUUUGUCAAUUUUGCGUGAAUAGCCACUCAUGUACGUACUCUACUACGUAAAGAGGAGAAUAUGUAGUACCAGGUCGAAAGGGCAUGCAACAAGCUACUCAUGAGAGAGAGAGGAAAGGAGAGGAGCAUAGCAUAGUGUCCUCUGUGGAGGAGUACAGCUAGUCAAGCAGUAGGACUCCAUUGCGGAAAGGUGAAAAGACGGGCACCGAUCCGAUCCAUUGUGUACGUCGGUUUCUUGCUCCUGUUGCUUUGCUAUGUCACGCUUCACAAGAGGAUGCAGUGCAAAGAUGGAAAAGCAAACAGCAAAGCCCAUGGUGGUGGACUGGACUGCCAACUGCGGCUUUAAAAACACGUCCUCGGACCGCCCGCUUCCUUUUCCCACACGGGCAACAGUGCCCCCUGUCACACGGUUCGACCUGUCCGAAAAGGCCAGUGCGUAGCCUAGGCGUAGGCGGAGCAAAAAAGCGCAGUAAAUUACUGGGGGUCGGUACCAAAGUGGCCACGGAUGAUGGCUUAAAAAUAUUCAAAGUAGGCUUAUCUUUGCCGUACUCUCUGCUGUGCCGUAGCUAGUAGUGCUGUGGUGCCGGCCGUUUCACGCGCCACCACCCUCCCUCCCAUGCAUGCAUGUCCCCGACUGCUGCAUGCACGCACGAAACGAAUCAUGCAUCUAUGCAGCGCAGUGCAGGCCUACUACUACCACCCAAGGUAGCCGUAUCGAGACGCGCGCACCACCGUCGCUUUGCUCUCUCUCCUCGCCUUUGUCCCUUUUGCUACGUUCCUUCCCCGCCAAUUUUGCUCUCCGUCAGAUUAUACUCCCUCCGUUCGUGAAUAUAAGACCUUUUUAAGAUUGUACUAUAAACUACAUACGGAUGGAUGUACGUAGACAUAUUUUAGAGUAUAUAUUCAUUCAUUUUGCUCCGUAUGUAGUCUUUUAGUAAAAUACCUAAAAGUUCUUAUAUUUUGGAACGGAGGGAGCAGUACUUGAGCCGGGUAGCGUAGCGUUUCACCCACAAAACGACGUACCCCAGCUCCUACCUUGUGAAUUUCGCCGAGUUUGCCAUCACCACACCACACCUAGAAACGAUUGAGAGCAAUUAAGCACCAGCUGAAGUGCGGGCGUUCCUUGGGCGAAAACACAAAGGACGUUGACGUACCCCUGCCGUGCCGUAAGCGAAACGUUCGAUACACUUUCACGGUUUCACGCGCCGGACGGGUCAAAUCUGUGCAGACAAUCCAAAUCUGUACCUGCAUGCCCAAUUUAUGCGCUGUGGGCAAACCGACAGUGGGACUGGCCGGGCACAUGACAACUCGCCCCCCGUACGGCCCAAGACGGAUGCGAUGCGUGCGGAUCGACAGGCGUGCGUGGGCACAGUUGUACGUACUCCAUCUUUAGACUGGUCAAGAUCGACGGGCACGAAAAUAUUGAUGGUGCUCAGCUCAAGCAGCACUACGAUCCGGCGAGAAGUACUCAAAACAUGUAAGCAUCUUUUGACAGGAGCAAGCGUGGCAGUAAAAUAUUACGAGCGAGCAUGCAGCAUCUUUCCACACGCAUGGAGCAAUCGCACGGAUACAACACGGUUUUGGUGCCAUAUUAUACGCAGUAACAAUUAUCAGUUGCUUGCGAAAGCAGAGUACACUGGUCUAGUAAACAUUUUUUUCCCAAGGACGAAACCUCUUUUAACUCGAAGAUUAACCAGCAACACAAGGUUAGUUCCGAACAUGAACAAUCUACCUAAAAAUAAUUUAAAAAAGUCUAGGAUCUACAUGCAAACUCCAGCAUUUGGACUCGCAUAGCCUGAUCACGUGACACUUGUGCAACACUGCCCAAGCCCACAUGCAGCAAAAACAAAAACAAAUAUUGGAGAACACGACAACGACGACGACGUGCUCGACCGCGAGACGUACGCUACGCCCACCGUCGGCCCAAGUUGCCGCAUGGCUUGGUGUUGGAUGGUCAAGAAAGGAGGACAUGGAGCGACGCGUUCUUGGNNNNNNNNNNNNNNNNNNNNNNNNNNNNNNNNNNNNNNNNNNNNNNNNNNNNNNNNNNNNNNNNNNNNNNNNNNNNNNNNNNN